CCCCUAGAUGUUCUGGGCCGCACGCGCGCUACACUGAACAGUUCAACAAGUCUUAACCUUGGCCGACAGGCCCGGGCAAUCUUUGAACGCUGGUCGUGAUGGGGAUAGACUUUUGCAAUUUUUGGUCUUCAACGAGGAAUUCCUAGUAAACGCAAGUCAUCAACUUGCAUUGAUUACGUCCCUGCCCUUUGUACACACCGCCCGUCGCACCUACCGAUUGAAUGGUCCGGUGAAAUCUCGGGACGGCGGCUUGGUCGCUUGCGUCCGACUGCUGAAACUUGAUUAAACCAUAUCAUUUAGAGGAAGGUGAAGUCGUAACA
rnacentral:rRNA from 1 species